ACGCGAGGGGAGGUGGAGCCUCAAAGGGAGAAGCUGGCGCUGGCCUAACCCUCUGACGACGCUUCCCAUGGCAGACUCCGCGGGGCACCGUUCUGCCCACCUCAAGGCCCGGGGGCCCCGCGCCUCCCGAAACGCCGCAGGUGCUAAACAGACAAAUGCCUUAAAACAAGAAGAUGCUUCUAAAAGGAGAGCAGAACUAGAAGCAGCUGUGAGAAAGAAAAUUGAAUUUGAGAGAAAAGCUCUACAUAUCGUUGAGCAGCUUUUAGAAGAGGAUAUUACAGAAGAAUUCCUAAGGGAAUGCGGGAGGUUCAUCACACCAGCUCACUACAGCGAUGUCGUGGAUGAACGUUCUAUUAUUAAACUCUGUGGUUAUCCGUUAUGUCAGAAGAAACUAGGAGUUGUACCAAAACAGAAGUAUAAAAUUUCUACCAAAACCAAUAAAGUCUAUGAUAUUACUGAAAGAAAGUGUUUUUGCAGCAAUUUUUGUUAUAAAGCAUCUAAGUUUUUUGAAGCACAAAUUCCAAAAACUCCAGUAUGGGUUCGAGAAGAGGAAAGGCAUCCUGAUUUUCAGCUGCUACAGGAAGGACAAAGUGGCCAUUCUGGAAAGGAAGUACAGUUAUGCACUAAGACCAUUAAAACAUCAGAUAUUGACAAUCCUGGCCAUUCUGAGAUGCAUUAUGAAUGUAGUGCUUCUAGCUCUCAUAGUGAUAGUAGCAGUGAUAAUGAGCAAGACUUUGUUUCCACCAUUCUACCAGGAAACAGACCAAAUGCAACAGGUAUAAGUCCACAGCUGCCCAAAAAAAGCAUAAUGAAAAAGAAAGCUGGUCAGAAAGCUAACUCCAAAUGUGAAGACAAAGAAGAGACAGUAAUAGCUGUCACUGAGCAGCUAGGAAAUUGCAGAUUAGAUAGUCAUGGGAAAGCUGCUGCUUGUGAACUUCCUUUACAGCAAGUAAGUACUCAGAUUUCUUCAAAUAGUCCUUUGCAAGAAAAAUUAGAAGCUACAGAAAAUUGUGAAAAUAAAUACAGUAGUUCAAAAAUAACUCUAGUGGGCAUAAGUAAGAAAAGUGCUGAGCAUUUUAAGAGAAAAUUUGCCAAAUCAAACCAAGUUUCUAGGUCACCCUCUAGGCCGGUGCAGGUGUGUCCCGAAGUUGCAAAGACAAACUUACUUAAAGUCCUGAAAGAGACUUUGACUGAAUGGAAGACAGAAGAAACUUUGAGGUUUUUGUAUGGCCAAAAUUAUGCUUCUUUGUGUCUGAAACUCUCUUCAUCCCCUCUGGCUAAAGAAGAAGAAUUUGAUGAAGAUGACAUAUGCUCUGACUCAGAUAAACAUUCUCCUGCCUUGCAGGAAUCUCAGAACAGCUUGGAUGAGUCUUUACCUUUUAGGGCCUCAGAAACAGCCAUUAAACCACUGCCAAGUUAUGAGAACUUGAAGAAAGAAACUGAAACAUUAAAUCUGAGAAUAAGGGAGUUUUAUAGAGGACGAUAUGUUUUGAGUGAAGAAACCACCAAAUCACAAGACUCUGAAGAGCAUGAUCUCACCUUUCCACUGAUAGAUUCAAGUUCUCAGAACCAGAUUAGAAAACGCAUCGUACUUGAAAAGUUAAGUAAAGUAGUCCCUGGACUUUUGGGGCCUCUUCAGAUCACAUUAGGAGAUAUUUCUGCACAACUUAAAAAUCUUAUCCGAACUUUCAGAUUAACAAAUAGAAAUAUUAUACACAAACCUGCAGAGUGGACCUUAAUUGCUGUGGUGUUGCUGUCAUUACUGACCCCAAUUCUUGGCAUUCAGAAGCAUUCUCAGGAGAAUGUCGUGUUUACACAGUUUAUAGAGACUUUGCUUGAAGAAUUACAUUUAAAGAAUGAAGACCUUGAAAACUUAACCAACAUAUUUAAAACCAGCUGUUAACCACGGAGUGCUUCACACUCGAACCUAGACCAUGCUUCAUGUGCCAUCUUACUGGUUGAAGUAAAUUGCUCUUUCCUGGGAAGAAACCUCACUACUGCAGCCAUUCACUGAGAACGUCCUCACCCAAUUCCCUCUUUGAGGAAACCAUCCCCAACCCAUUCACUACUUCAGUCAUCUCCUGAGCAGAUAACUAGGUAUAAUCCAUGAAGACCAAAUAGAAGAUGAACUUCUAUUCAUCAUUUCUGGAAUUCUAGCCAUAGUAAUGUUCUGGUGAUAACGGGUAACUAGCUUUGUUCCAAGAAAGACCUUUACCUCCUUAGAUUUCAGCCGCCUGGUUCCCAGUCCCUAACUGUACAGUGGCUUCCCCUAGAUAGAGGAGAACCACUUUUCCAACAAGGAUAACCAAGUCCUUGCAUCCCUAGCUGUAAGACAUAGUAUUUCUAUUUAAUUGAAAAAUGAAAAAUGAAGUCGUAAGUUGAAACUUCAAUAAAUAUUGGCCUUAUUUUUUUCCUGGAUGAUUCCAGCCAUUAUAUUGGUUGGCGAAACAUUUGAGAACAUUCCUAUUUUGACAUCACAAUCUAAACUGUAGAUUCUAAACAGUAAAAGGUUCAAUAAAUGCAAUGUAAGAUGAA